UGGGGAAUAUUGGGCAAUGGGCGAAAGCCUGACCCAGCAACGCCGCGUGAAUGAAGAAGGCCUUCGGGUUGUAAAGUUCUGUCCUAUGGGACGAAAAAAAUGACGGUACCAUAGGAGGAAGCCCCGGCUAACUACGUGCCAGCAGCCGCGGUAAUACGUAGGGGGCUAGCGUUGUCCGGAAUUACUGGGCGUAAAGGGUGCGCAGGCGGAGCCUUAAGUCAGAUGUGAAAUAUCCGGGCUUAAUUCGGAGGGUGCAUUUGAAACUGGGGUGCUGGAGUGCAGUAGAGGAAAGUGGAAGUCCUAGUGUAGCGGUGAAAUGCGUAGAUAUUAGGAGGAACACCAGUGGCGAAGGCGACUUUCUGGACUGUAACUGACGCUGAGGCACGAAAGCGUGGGGAGCAAACA
rnacentral:rRNA from 1 species